CAGGAAAUAGGGUUUGGGAGGAGUCAAUCAUGGAAACGGUCAAUCCUGCUAUUCUUCAAGAUGGUUUAUGUUGUGUGUGGAUUGAAACAUUAUACUCAACAACAUGACGUGUCCACCCCCUGAGAAUUCCCCCGAAUUGGCCAGACACUCUGUUGGCUAUUCCAGGGUGGAAGAAGCCGCUGAUCUUGGUGUGAUUAGCAGAACAAUGAGUAUACUGGAUGAAGUGUAGAAGACAUUCCCCACAUUUUGUCUACAGCAAAAGGGUUAAUAAUAGUUUAUUUUAUUAAUACAAUCACCUGUUUUUCUUCUAUUUCCCAAGGUGUUUUUUUUCAUCAACCCAGAGAAGGGCACAAAACUAGAGAAGACAAAUAAAUCCUGUCAUCAUGUGAACCCUAGAGUUUUUACCUUGAUUCAGGAACUUUCAGAUCAUGAGUGGCGUGAUGUCUGACUAUGAACUUAAUAGCAAAAUAGAAUGAUCCAGGCAUUCUAUGUAGGUAAGAUAGGCAGAUUUAUUUUGACAAACACGCAGCAAUGUUUUGACUCUCAAUGGAGUCUUUUUCCAUUGGGAGUCGAACCGUUGCUCCGUGUUUGUCCAAAUAAAUAUGCCUAUCUUACCUACAUCUUUCUAUUUUGCUAUUGAUAUUUGGGGACCCUGCCAGUCCUGGACUUGGAUGCACCUUGGAGGGUAGUGGAAGGGUGCGGUUCCUCCCUUGCUUUACUUUGACUUAAGUCAGUAAGAUUUGACAUGUGCCACACUCAUAGCUUGAAGAUUUGUUUCAGCUCAUUAGCUGCCUACUUCUUCAAUCUGAAGAACCAAUAAAAGUUUUAGACACAA